AUUGAACGCUGGCGGCAGGCCUAACACAUGCAAGUCGAACGAGUGGCGGACGGGUGAGAAAUGUCUGGGAAACUGCCCGAUGGAGGGGUAUAACUAGUAGAAACAGGAGCUAAUACCGCAUACCAUCAGAUGUGCCGAGAUGGGAUUAGCUUGUAGGUGGGGUAACGGCUCACCUAGGCGACGAUCCCUAGAUGGUCUGAGAGGAUGACCAGCCACACUGGAACUGAGACACGGUCCAGACUCCUACGGGAGGCAGCAGUGGGGAAUAUUGCACAAUGGGCGCAAGCCUGAUGCAGCCAUGCCGCGUGUAUGAAGAAGGCCUUCGGGUUGUAAAGUACUUUCAGCGGGGAGGCGUUACUCGCAGAAGAAGCACCGGCUAACUCCGUGCCAGCAGCCGCGGUAAUAC
rnacentral:rRNA from 1 species